rnacentral:rRNA from 1 species
UCGGGAAUUUUGGGCAAUGGAGGGAACUCUGACCCAGCCAUGCCGCGUGCAGGAUGAAGGCGUUAUGCGUUGUAAACUGCUUUUAUAUAGGAAGAAAUAGUCCUUGCGAGGAAAGUUGACGGUACUAUAUGAAUAAGCACCGGCUAACUCCGUGCCAGCAGCCGCGGUAAUACGGAGGGUGCAAGCGUUGUCCGGAUUUAUUGGGUUUAAAGGGUGCGUAGGCGGUUUAUUAAGUCAGUGGUGAAAGACGGUCGCUCAACGAUUGCAGUGCCAUUGAUACUGGUAGACUUGAGUAUGAUUGAGGUAGCUGGAAUGGAUAGUGUAGCGGUGAAAUGCAUAGAUAUUAUCCAGAACACCAAUUGCGUAGGCAAGUUACUAAGUCAUAACUGACGCUGAGGCACGAAAGUGUGGGUAUCAAACAGGAUUAGAUACCCGAGUAGUCCCUGAGCGGGCUGGCAAGGCGCAU